rnacentral:rRNA from 1 species
GAAUAUUGGACAAUGGGCGAAAGCCUGAUCCAGCCAUGCCGCGUGUGUGAAGAAGGUCUUCGGAUUGUAAAGCACUUUAAGUGGGGAGGAAGGGUUGUAUUCUAAUACCUUGAAAUUUUGACGUUAACAACAGCAUAAGCAACGGCUCAUUUCAUGCCAGCAGCCGCGGUAAUACGAAGGGUGCAAGCGUUAAUCGGAAUUACUGGGUGUAAAGAGCGCGUAGGUGGUUCGUUAAGUUGGAAGUGAAAGCCCCGGGCUUAACCUGGGAAUUGCUUUCAAAACUGACGAGCUAGAGUACGGUAGAGGGUAGUGGAAUUGCCUGUGUAGCGGUGAAAUGCGUAGAUAUAGGAAGGAACAUCAGUGGCGAAGGCGACUACCUGGACUGAUACUGACACUGAGGUGCGAAAGAGUGGGGAGCAAACAGG